rnacentral:rRNA from 1 species
UUGACCUCGGAUCAGGUAGGAUUACCCGCUGAACUUAAGCAUAUCAAUAAGCGGAGGAAAAGAAACCAACAGGGAUUGCCCCAGUAACGGCGAGUGAAGCGGCAACAGCUCAAAUUUGAAAUCUGGCCCUCGGGUCCGAGUUGUAAUUUGGAGAGGAUGCUUUUGGCGCGGCGCCGUCCGAGUUCCUUGGAACAGGACGCCAUA